UACAGAGGCCCCAAGCAUUAUCCGGAUUUACUGGGCGUAAAGGGUGCGUAGGCGGUGUUAUUAGUCGGGUGUUAAAUCCUGGGGCUCAACCUCAGAAUCGCAUUCGAAACGGUAACACUAGAAGAAGUAAGAGGUGAACAGAACUCUCGGUGUAGGGGUGAAAUCCGUUGAUAUCGAGGGGAAUACCAAAUGCGAAGGCAGUUCACUGGUGCUUUCUUGACGCUGAGGCACGAAAGCGUGGGUAGCGAACAGG
rnacentral:rRNA from 1 species